CAUGGAACGGGGGAGCCCUGCCUGAGAGACACCAGCUGAGUGACAGUAACAAGACUCUCACUGUACCCAGUACUGACACCGGCACAUUCACCGCCCUUGUCUCCAACCCCGUCAGUGACGAGAUAAUUGAGUGUGUCCUCCCACGACCAGAGGAGGAAGAAUUCCUUCCUGAAUUACGUGAGAGAAAGGUGGAAAUUGGACUUUGCGCUGCACUGUCAAUAAUUACUGGAGUGGCUGUCGUGGCUCUCAAGGGCGCAGCAAGGAAAAAAUUUGAAGGGUUGAAGUGUAAGGCAGCAAAUGAAAACUCGGCAACUGCUGAAAGUCUUGUGAGCCAACAUUCCUGCGCAGUUUCAGUUGAUGGUCCAACUAAGGAAAAAUCAGAUAUGUUUCCGUGAUUUACCAAAGAAGUUCUGUUUGGUCAUAGGGUGAACCUUGACCUGCUAAUCUUAAUACAUUAGAUUAAUUCUUCCUAUAUCUCUACUAGAUCUUUUCAUAAAUAAUCAUUAGGUAAUUAGGCAACAGAAGUAAGUUCAUAUAAGUAUGUACCUCUCUGUCCUUUUUAUAAUUGCCGCUCCUAUAAUCUCUCCUGUUCAGAUCAUUCUGUACAUGAAUAAGAGAAAUAUAUAAGAUCGUAUAGGUUGGGCAUUAAUAAGAGCAGAGAUGAUAGGAUUAACAUAAAAAUUGCUCGUUAUUACUAAUUAUAAUGCAUAGGGGAUUAUAUAUUUCAUAAUUGCAGAGAUAUAUAAUGGUUACAUAUAUCUAGUGUUUUACUUACAUUCACUUUCCUAUUAUAUACUAUGUGCUUAUGAUUAGUGAUGAGCAAAUCUGUCCAUUUU